UACGAAGGGGGCGAGCGUUGUUCGGAUUUACUGGGCGUAAAGGGCGCGCAGGCGGUUCUGUUUGUCGAGUGUGAAAGCCCCGGGCUCAACCUGGGAACUGCGCUCGAAACGGCGGAACUAGAGUUCGGGAGAGGAGAGUGGAAUUCCCAGUGUAGAGGUGAAAUUCGUAGAUAUUGGGAAGAACACCGGUGGCGAAGGCGGCUCACUGGCUCAUAUCUGACGCUCAGGCGCGACAGCGUGGGGAUCAAACAGG
rnacentral:rRNA from 1 species